UCGGCCCCGCUUUGUCCCGCAGCGCGGGGCUCUCGCUCUCAGAUGCACGUUCCAGCUUCUUUGGAGUCUUGCGCAAUGUGUGACGCCUGGUGACUUUGACGUAUCUUUAGCUGCUGGUGCCUUGGACUGGUUCUAGGAGGAAUAAUAAAGGUGCUGCUGUCAUGAGGCACUUCUCAGGACAAAACCCAGAAUUUUCCCCGAAAUGGACAGCAUCCUGGACAGCAGGAUUUCCUGUUUGUGGAUAAACACGAGAAGCAACAAGGCUGUUGUUCUGAAUGGCCUAGAAUUGCUCUUCCCAGAGAUAGGAAAACCUUGACAGCGUUCAAGAGCUCAGAUGAGUAUGUGUGAUCUGGACCCUGCGGGUUGCCUCCUUCCAAUUCUUGUCAAUGGAGAGUCCUGAGACACUGAACUUAUUUCAUCUCUAUCCACAGCCCAGCAGAUCCCACACUUUGCUUGGGGCUGGCUGGGCUGCUCUGCAGAUGAUCUUGCGAUGUUAUGACAGUACAGAGAGCGGUUAUUCCAAGUGCUUGCCAAUCACCAGACUGCUGCCAGUCUGUGUCAAAUGAAGCAUCCCAGGCCCUGUCACAUUAAAUCCAGCAGCUCUUUCAUUUGGAGCAGAACAGUGUGUUUAUUUGUGUUCCCUCCUCUCCUUUUGGGAUGCCACACUCAAUCAUCUCAGGGGUUUGGUCUGCCUGUAAGCACAGCAAAUCUCAGCACCCCUUAAAGGGCCCCUCAUCUUGUGGCAAGCAAUGCUGCUGAGUUCUUUGCUUGGUGUUAAUUUGCUAAGAGUUGGGUAUAAAUGAGGUGGAAAGCAUGAAAUAUUGUUAUUAUAGAGAGCAUCGUUUCAGACGAGUCCAGUGACCGCUGCUGACAUUCACACCAGUUCAAGGGCAAGAUGUCUCAGACUGAUGAAUCACACAGCUGCUGUACCCUGUUCUAAAUAGAUGCAGGGUAGUGGCACUUCUGCUUGCACAGCCAAGGCUGUGUAACACCUCCAUUUCCAUGCCUUCAAAAUGGGAGGGACGAGGGGAAGGGCAGUCUCUGCGAAAGGAAGAUGAAGCCAGGUGUCCUGCUGGGACCAUAUGGAGGGAUGGAAAUGAGAAUGCUGGGUCGUGUGGCUUCGGAUGACGACACAGAGUCUGCUUGCUUUGUCCACAAGCAUGAGGGCACCGAGCUGAAAUUUUCUGAGGCAGUAUUGUGUGCUCCCACUGUUUCUCCGAAGCAAUCAAUGCUCCUGUUUCCUGCAACACCUGUGCAACGCCACCAACCAGGAGAGUGUGGCAGCAGUCACCUGGAAAGGCUGUGGUCGUUUGGAUCGUGGCUUUUCUGGCUGUGUUCAUACUUGGGCAGCGGUGACCUCAUGGCUCCAAUUGUCCAAUUCAUACAGAGGCUGCAGGUGGAAGGUGCAGAGAAAAGUUGGGCAAGAAUGGGGAAAAGAAGGGAAAGAGAUGAUGAUCUGUCUGGAAACAUGAGUGCAGUAAGGAACUGAGAUUCUUCUUUCAUCAGUUCAGAUUCCCUCUCUCUGCAGGAAAGCUGUGUGAAUCAAAUCCCUGUGUGAAGACUGGUCAGCUUCUGUUGCUUUCAUAGCUUGGGAGAAAAGAGUGUUUAUUCAUUUAUAACGUAGCUACAUAAGGGGUGAUUCAUUUUUGUCAUUACUCGGUGUUUAAUUUGCCUUCUGCAGGAUAUGAAUUCAGAUGUUAUGAUGGUUUUGCUCCUUUACAAGAAUUAAAAGCUCUUCCAACCA